GACGAACGCUGGCGGCGUGCUUAACACAUGCAAGUCGAACGGAAAGGCCCUGCUUUUGUGGGGUGCUCGAGUGGCGAAAGGGUGAGUAACACGUGAGUAACCUGCCCUUGACUUUGGGAUAACUUCAGGAAACUGGGGCUAAUACCGGAUAGGAGCUCCUGCUGCAUGGUGGGGGUUGGAAAGUUUCGGCGGUUGGGGAUGGACUCGCGGCUUAUCAGCUUGUUGGUGGGGUAGUGGCUUACCAAGGCUUUGACGGGUAGCCGGCCUGAGAGGGUGACCGGCCACAAUGGGACUGAGAUACGGCCCAGACUCCUACGGGAGGCAGCAGUGGGGAAUAGUGCACAAUGGGCGGAAGCCUGAGGCAGCAGCGCCGCGUGCGGGAUGACGGCCUUCGGAUUGUAAACCGCUUUCGCCUGUGACGAAGCGUGAGUGACGGUAAUGGGUAAAGAAGCACCGGCUAACUACGUG
rnacentral:rRNA from 1 species